GUUUUCUGUGACUAAACAGCUCAUCUGCAAGCAAUGAGAGGCAUACUUCUUCUUUUCAGGAAAAGUUCAGCAUUCGCGUUCUGGCUGAGAUGUCAUUCUUAACAACAGCAAUGACUGCCUGGGGAAUAUGACGGCAUUUGCCUAAAGGACUUCAUCUGGCCCAUGAUAUCUUGAAAGUACCUACACCAUCCUUUCAGAUACUCAAAGGAAAAGUUCAGCAUUCGCGUUCUGGCUGAGAUGUCAUUCUUAACAACAGCAAUGACUGCCUGGGGAAUAUGACGGCAUUUGCCUAAAGGACUUCAUCUGGCCCAUGAUAUCUUGAAAGUACCUACACCAUCCUUUCAGAUACUCAAAGGUACUUCAAAUAAAAUCAAAACAAGAAUUCUCAAACGUAGCCUUGAAAAUGUGGGGAGUCAGAACAAAAGGACCUCAUUGUUUCACUGAUAGUCAUUGAUGGGGACACCCAGAAUAUACGGAGAAAUGAAGAGAAAAGGUUUCAAGUUUGUUCGUGGUCAGGGAGACGGAAGAACAGGGAGUGCUUGCCGUGAAUACAGGGUUUGCUGGGAGGUGAGGCGGAAAUCUUCAAAGGGUCUGAAACUACAAGGUGGCCAUGGUUACACAGCGCUUUGUCGGUCCUCAGUGUCCCCAGAUUGCAGCCG